ACAAUACAGAGAAGAUUAUCAGAAAAACAAUCGAAACAAUACAGAGAAGAUUAUCAUGACCUCUGAACAAGGGUGGCACAGAAAUUUGUGAAGCAUUCCAUAUUUUU